AAAGAAAUCAUUUAUUUUAUGUAUUAUAAUAAAAGGGUAUUCUAUGAUGAAGAUCCAAUUAAAAUAAUAAACUUUAUAUUAUUUACUUUAUGUAAAUGUAAUUAUUUUUCAGGACUUGAUAUGAAUUUUAAUAUUAUAUUCAAUAAAAAAAACCUGAAUAUAGAUAUUUUGCACGAAAGAAAGAUAAUACACAUACAGAAAAAGGAAGAAAAAAUAUAGCUUUUUGGUAAUGAGGAAAUAAAAAUGGGAAAAUGACAAAAGUCUACAAUAUAGUAUUAAGUUUUUCUCCUUUUUAUUUUCUCUUCUCCCAUAAGUCCAAGUUCAAUAUUAAACUAGAACAGUAUCUUAUAGGGGUAAGGAAAUGUAAUAUGUUGAUGAUACAUGUAAAUAUUAUUUUAAUAGCUGUAUUCAUUAUUCUAAUGAAAUCAUUUAUUUUAUGUAGUAUAAUAAAAGGGUACUUAUAUGUUGAAGAUCCUAUUAUUAUAAUAAACUUUAUAUUAUCUUCUUUAUGUAAAUGUAAUUAUUUUUCAGG